CGUGGAGGAUGAAGGAGCUACGCUUCGUAAACUUCUUUUUUAGGGGAAGAAAACGUCUUUUUUAAGAUUCUGACGGUACCCUAAGAAUAAGCACCGGCUGACUACGUGC
rnacentral:rRNA from 1 species